UGUCUUGUCUUUUUGUCUGCUGGUGUUAAUGUUUCUGAGUCUGUGUUUCAGGGGGAAGCAGUGGAUUUGGCUAACGUGCCCGCGGAGUACCACGACCUGAAGGAGGUGUUCAAUCCUCAUUCAUGUCUCCACGUCCUAGUUGGUUUACCGUCUUCCGUGUUCGUGUGCUGGAUUGUGUUCGUGUUGUCGUCUUCGUGUCAGUGUUCCGGUCUGUUCCUGGUUUCAUCCAUUGACCGUCUUCACCUUCACCUGCGACUUCACCAUCCAGCUCUUCUCACGCCACCGUAGACCUUCGUUUCCAUUGCCUACAUUCUGGACUCUGAUAUCAAUAAACUUCUUCUGAUUGCCUGCAAUUGCUUCCUCCUCUUUUACGAGCCGUCACAAUAUCACGGUUAUCGUCAAUACCAGUAUAUCGUGACACCCCUAGUACACACGUACACAAACACAUUCCUAUAGAGCAAACACAUAAUAGCCUACGCAUGCACAUUACAUCCUAAUUCUCACAAAUUCUUGUUUUCGUAGUUUAUACAGAGACAAUAACGUUAUUGUUUUCAAACACUUGCACUUUGAAACCCAUUUUCAAAAGUUUGCAUUUUCAGGCCCCCUGAAUAUUUUUCUGUUUUUAGUUGAAAAUGUUGUUGUGUAAACAUCCCCAAAAUAAAUGAUGGCAUUAAUGGGAAGACUAAUUAAACAUUAAGUCAACAACAUACUCAUGCUCAUAUAUCACCACUUUGUCACUUUAAAAUAAUUGUUUUUUUUGUUUGUUUUUUUUGUUUUUAAAGUGCACAGUCAGCUCACUCAAAUAAAGGUAGCUACAUCUCCAUGUCUGUGAUAGGCUAAGUAUUUCAUGAGUUUUCAUGACUGAUGAUCUGACAAUAAGUUGACUGUCAAAAAUAACAGAUGAAUAUCAGUUCAUAAAUAAAUUGUUUAAAUUAAUGUUAAAAUUUUAAUAAACAUGACAUUAAUUAUAUAAGUAAGUAAAAUAAGUAAGUCUCUCUCUUAAUUGAUGUUUAUAUAUUAUAUACUUGUUAUUUACCUUAUUUGCAUAUGCCUAUUAAUACCUAAAUUGUACAUUUAAGCCCCAGCGACAGCUUUUGUACCUUUAUUUCUGAGGGUGUAGAAGUGUUUCUGUACUAUUACAAUAGCAGUCACUUGGUUUGAUUUUACCAAAUGGUAAAUGUGAAGUAUAUUUUAGGUGUCAAACAAUUUUGAGC
ensembl:lncRNA